rnacentral:rRNA from 1 species
AUUGAACGCUGGCGGCAGGCCUAACACAUGCAAGUCGAGCGGAUGAGUGGAGCUUGCUCCAUGAUUCAGCGGCGGACGGGUGAGUAAUGCCUAGGAAUCUGCCUGGUAGUGGGGGACAACGUUUCGAAAGGAACGCUAAUACCGCAUACGUCCUACGGGAGAAAGUGGGGGAUCUUCGGACCUCACGCUAUCCGAUGAGGCUAGGUCGGAUUAGCUAGUUGGUGAGGUAAAGGCUCACCAAGGCGACGAUCCGUAACUGGUCUGAGAGGAUGAUCAGUCACACUGGAACUGAGACACGGUCCAGACUCCUACGGGAGGCAGCAGUGGGGAAUAUUGGACAAUGGGCGAAAGCCUGAUCCAGCCAUGCCGCGUGUGUGAAGAAGGUCUUCGGAUUGUAAAGCACUUUAAGUUGGGAGGAAGGGCAGUAAGUUAAUACCUUGCUGUUUUGACGUUACCAACAGAAUAAGCACCGGCUAACUUCGUGCCAGCAGCCGCAGUAAUAC